GAUGAACGCUGGCGGCGUGCCUAAUACAUGCAAGUCGAGCGAACAGACGAGGAGCUUGCUCCUCUGACGUUAGCGGCGGACGGGUGAGUAACACGUGGAUAACCUACCUAUAAGACUGGGAUAACUUCGGGAAACCGGAGCUAAUACCGGAUAACAUGUUGAACCGCAUGGUUCAACAGUGAAAGACGGUUUUGCUGUCACUUAUAGAUGGAUCCGCGUCGCAUUAGCUAGUUGGUAAGGUAACGGCUUACCAAGGCAACGAUGCGUAGCCGACCUAAGAGGGUGAUCGGCCACACUGGAACUGAGACACGGUCCAGACUCCUACGGGAGGCAGCAGUAGGGAAUCUUCCGCAAUGGGCGAAAGCCUGACGGAGCAACGCCGCGUGAGUGAAGAAGGUCUUCGGAUCGUAAAACUCUGUUAUUAGGGAAGAACAAAUGUGUAAGUAACUAUGCACGUCUUGACGGUACCUAAUCAGAAAGCCACGGCUAACUACGUG
rnacentral:rRNA from 1 species